rnacentral:lncRNA from 1 species
UUAUAUUUAAUACUCUGUUCUAUAUUCGGGCUAAUAACAUUUUUGUAACGCCCCCAAUAGUUCCAUAUCGGAUGGGAUACUGAUUCCGAUCAGUUUAUAUGAGGCCUACACGUUAGUAAUAAUAACUGAGCUUAAGCAUUUUGCACCGGUGGUUUCGGCCCAACGAGUUAUUGUUGCUAGCGGGUCGGGUCGUUGCAAUUGGUAUCAGAGUCGAAUACCAACCGAAAGUGUGAGAAUUAAGUGCUAUGCGGGACAAGGUGUGGUAAUGGUCCUGCUCUAUCUGUCUGUGAUCUAGUUUGGACCCGACGAGGACGUCAAGGUCUAAACAUGGAGCGUUACAAACUCCCCCCCAAUAGUCCCACAUUGAAUGGGAUACUGAUUUCGAUCAGUUUUAUAUGAAGCAUAUACGCUAGUAAUAAUAACUGGGCUUAAGCAUUUUAGCCCGGUGGUUUGGGCUCAAUGUGUUAUUGUUGCUAGCGGGUUGGGUUGUUGCAAGUGGUAUCAGAGCCGAAUACCAGCCGGAAGUGUGAGAACUAAGUGCG